rnacentral:rRNA from 1 species
GAUGAACGCUAGCGGCAGGCCUAAUACAUGCAAGUCGAACGGGCGGUAGCAAUACCGCUAGUGGCGCACGGGUGCGUAACGCGUAACCAACCUGCCCAGAUCUGGGGGAUAGCCCGCCGAAAGGCGGAUUAAUACCGCAUAAACCCACAGUGUGGCAUCACAUAAUGGGUAAAGAUUUAUCGGAUCUGGAUGGGGUUGCGUAGCAUUAGCUAGUUGGCGGGGUAAUGGCCCACCAAGGCGACGAUGCUUAGGGGACCUGAGAGGGUGAUCCCCCGCACUGGCACUGAGAUACGGGCCAGACUCCUACGGGAGGCAGCAGUAGGGAAUAUUGGGCAAUGGGCGAGAGCCUGACCCAGCCAUGCCGCGUGCCGGAUGAAGGCCUUCUGGGUUGUAAACGGCUUUUCUCAGGGAAGAAAACGGGGAUGCGUCCUCAACUGACGGUACCUGAGGAAUAAGCACCGGCGAACUCCGU